rnacentral:rRNA from 1 species
CAAGUCUUGACAUCUAACUGACGUAUGGGCAAUGCCAUAUUUCCUUCCGGACAGUUAAGACAGGUGGUGCAUGGUUGUCCUCAGCUCGUGUCGUGAGAUGUUGGGUCAAGUCCCCCAACGAGCGCAACCCUUAUCUUUAGUAGCCAGCAAGUGAAGUUGGGCACUCUAGAGAGACUGCCGGGGAUAACCCGGAGGAAGGUGGGGAUGACGUCAAAUCAUCAUGCCCCUUAUGAUUUGGGCUACACACGUGCUACAAUGGCGUAAACAAAGGGAAGCGAAUUGGUGACGCGCAUCAAAUCCCAAAAAUAACGUCCCAGUUCCGAUUGUAGUCUGCCACCCGACUACAUGAAGCUGGAAUCGCUAGUAAUCGCGCAUCAAAAUGCCGCGGUGAAUACAUUCCC